rnacentral:rRNA from 1 species
UACGGAGGGUGCAAGCGUUGUUCGGAAUUACUGGGCGUAAAGCGCGCGUAGGCGGUUUUACAAGUCAGAUGUGAAAGCCCAUGGCUUAACCAUGGACGUGCAUUUGAAACUGUGAGACUUGAGUAUUGGAGGGGGUGGUGGAAUUCCCGGUGUAGAGGUGAAAUUCGUAGAUAUCGGGAGGAAUACCAGUGGCGAAGGCGACCACCUGGCCAAAUACUGACGCUAAUGUGCGAAAGCGUGGGGAGCAAACAGG